GUCCACGCUGUAACGAUGAUUACUGGCUAUUAGCAGUGUCGACCCUGCUAGUGGCGAAGCAAACGCGUUAAGUAAUCCGCCUGGGAAGUACGGUGGCAACACUAAACUCAAAGGAAUAGACGGGGACUCACACAAGCGGUGGAACAUGUGGCUUAAUUCGACAACAAACGGAGAACCUUACCAGGUCUAGAAAUCUGCAUGAAAGCCUUUUAGAAACAUUGGCCCUUCACAAGACAUGCAGACAGGUGCUGCAUGGUUGUCGU
rnacentral:rRNA from 1 species